CGAGAAAUAGUGUUUUUUCUUUUCUUUUCAAAUUGUUGUGAAAUAUUGGCCAUGGUGGAUUGCGGUGACAACUUCCAUAACCGAUUUGUGAAGGGUGCGUGAUGUUUUAUGGUGGAUAUGGAGGAGCUUAAAAUGGCGAAUUUUGGUUUUCCCCCAUCUUAUAGCUGAUAUUUGACAAUAGCUUGUACUAAAUAGAAUGACUACAAUUUUAUAGCUGCUAUUUGACAACACCUUGUACUAAAUAGCGUAUCAC
rnacentral:lncRNA from 1 species